rnacentral:rRNA from 1 species
UACGAAGGGUGCAAGCGUUACUCGGAAUUACUGGGCGUAAAGGGUGCGUAGGCGGUCUGUCGCGUCGGCUGUGAAAACCCGGAGCUCAACUCCGGGCCUGCAGUCGAUACGGGCAGACUGGAGUUCGGCAGGGGAGACUGGAAUUCCUGGUGUAGCGGUGAAAUGCGCAGAUAUCAGGAGGAAUACCGAUGGCGAAGGCAGGUCUCUGGGCUGACACUGACGCUCAUGCACGAAAGCGUGGGGAGCAAACAGG